GACGAACGCUGGCGGCGUGCUUAACACAUGCAAGUCGAACGAAGUGGCGAACGGGUGAGUAACGCGUAAUCAACCUGCCCUUCAGAGGGGGACAACAGUUGGAAACGACUGCUAAUACCGCAUACUGAAGGAGGGGCUUGCGUCGGAUUAGCUAGUUGGAGGGGUAACGGCCCACCAAGGCGAUGAUCAGUCGCGGGUCGGGUAGGAUGAACGGCCACAUUGGGACUGAGACACGGCCCAGACUCCUACGGUAGGCAGCAGUGGGGAAUCUGCCGCAAGGGACGAAAGUCUGACGGAGCAACGCCGCGGGAGUGAUGACGGCAGUCGGGUUGUAAAGCGCUGUUAAUCGGGACGCGGUACCGGAAUAGAAAGCCACGGCUAACUACGUGCCAGCAGCCGCGGUAAUAC
rnacentral:rRNA from 1 species